rnacentral:rRNA from 1 species
GAAAGCCACGGCUAACUACAUGCCAGCAGCCGCGGUAAUACGUAGGUGGCAAGCGUUGUCCGGAAUUAUUGGGCGUAAAGCGCGCGCAGGCGGUUUCUUAAAUCUGAUGUGAAAGCCCCCGGCUCAACCGGGGAGGGUCAUUGGAAACUGGGGAACUUGAGUGCAGAAGAGGAGAGUGGAAUUCCACGUGUAGCGGUGAAAUGCGUAGAGAUGUGGAGGAACACCAGUGGCGAAGGCGACUCUCUGGUCUGUAACUGACGCUGAGGCGCGAAAGCGUGGGGAGCGAACAGGAUUAGAUACCCUGGUAGUCCACGCCGUAAACGAUGAGUGCUAAGUGUUAUAGGGUUUCCGCCGUUGGGGGGGUG